rnacentral:rRNA from 1 species
UACGAAGGGGGCUAGCGUUGCUCGGAAUGACUGGGCGUAAAGGGCGCGUAGGCGGUUUGGUUAGUUAGGCGUGAAAUUCCUGGGCUUAACCUGGGGGCUGCGCUUAAUACAGCCAGACUUGAGUGUGGAAGAGGGUCGUGGAAUUCCCAGUGUAGAGGUGAAAUUCGUAGAUAUUGGGAAGAACACCGGUGGCGAAGGCGGCGACCUGGUCCAUUACUGACGCUGAGGCGCGAAAGCGUGGGGAGCAAACAGG